GACGAACGCUGGCGGCGUGCUUAACACAUGCAAGUCGAACGGAAAGGCCCUGCUUUUGUGGGGUGCUCGAGUGGCGAACGGGUGAGUAACACGUGAGUAACCUGCCCUUGACUUUGGGAUAACUUCAGGAAACUGGGGCUAAUACCGGAUAGGAGCUCCUGCUGCAUGGUGGGGGUUGGAAAGUUUCGGCGGUUGGGGAUGGACUCGCGGCUUAUCAGCUUGUUGGUGGGGUAGUGGCUUACCAAGGCUUUGACGGGUAGCCGGCCUGAGAGGGUGACCGGCCACAUUGGGUCUGAGAUACGGCCCAGACUCCUACGGGAGGCAGCAGUGGGGAAUAUUGCACAAUGGGCGGAAGCCUGAUGCAGCAACGCCGCGUGCGGGAUGACGGCCUUCGGGUUGUAAACCGCUUUCGCCUGUGACGAAGCGUGAGUGACGGUAAUGGGUAAAGAAGCACCGGCUAACUACGCG
rnacentral:rRNA from 1 species